rnacentral:other from 1 species
AAAUCCCUGCUGUGUGCGUGGUUGAGGCAGUGUUUUGAACCAACACUAUUUUAAAGGGAGUCCGUACUCUGAGUGUGGCAUAUAGGCCCCCCAUUAUGGCCAGGGGAAAUAUAAAACAAUCAGGAGGACACCCACCUGCUAGGGCAGGUUUAAAAUAUGCCUAGGGCACGGCUCGGUGGGGAAGUU